GUACUUUGUGGACGCCGUUCACAGACGCUGAUUCAGUUCAAACACAUUGGAAGAUCCUUGCAUCUGUGCCCUGGAGCCUGGGGGUCUGGGCGUGGAAAGGCUCGGAGAAGCAGCUGGCAAUUUUGAGGGACCAAAACACAGAGCUCCUGCAGAGCCACCCCAGGGAGAACCGGGGACUGGUCACCGGUUACUCUGGACGCCUUUCAGUCACUGGGACUUCAUUGAGUGAGGACCGCUGAUUUCUCCGCUGGCCGGGUAUGGCUCCGGUGCCACUUUCAGCUUUCGGAAAUCACAACUUGUGAUUGGAUACUUGGGAGUGAC